rnacentral:rRNA from 1 species
UGCAAGUCGAGCGAACGGACGAGAAGCUUGCUUCUCUGAUGUUAGCGGCGGACGGGUGAGUAACACGUGGAUAACCUACCUAUAAGACUGGGAUAACUUCGGGAAACCGGAGCUAAUACCGGAUAAUAUUUUGAACCGCAUGGUUCAAAAGUGAAAGACGGUCUUGCUGUCACUUAUAGAUGGAUCCGCGCUGCAUUAGCUAGUUGGUAAGGUAACGGCUUACCAAGGCAACGAUGCAUAGCCGACCUGAGAGGGUGAUCGGCCACACUGGAACUGAGACACGGUCCAGACUCCUACGGGAGGCAGCAGUAGGGAAUCUUCCGCAAUGGGCGAAAGCCUGACGGAGCAACGCCGCGUGAGUGAUGAAGGUCUUCGGAUCGUAAAACUCUGUUAUUAGGGAAGAACAUAUGUGUAAGUAACUGUGCACAUCUUGACGGUACCUAAUCAGAAAGCCACGGCUAACUACGUGCCAGCAGCCGCGGUAAUACGUAGGUGGCAAGCGUUAUCCGGAAUUAUUGGGCGUAAAGCGCGCGUAGGCGGUUUUUUAAGUCUGAUGUGAAAGCCCACGGCUCAACCGUGGAGGGUCAUUGGAAACUGGAAAACUUGAGUGCAGAAGAGGAAAGUGGAAUUCCAUGUGUAGCGGUGAAAUGCGCAGAGAUAUGGAGGAACACCAGUGGCGAAGGCGACUUUCUGGUCUGUAACUGACGCUGAUGUGCGAAAGCGUGGGGAUCAAACAGGAUUAGAUACCCUGGUAGUCCACGCCGUAAACGAUGAGUGCUAAGUGUUAGGGGGUUUCCGCCCCUUAGUGCUGCAGCUAACGCAUUAAGCACUCCGCCUGGGGAGUACGACCGCAAGGUUGAAACUCAAAGGAAUUGACGGGGACCCGCACAAGCGGUGGAGCAUGUGGUUUAAUUCGAAGCAACGCGAAGAACCUUACCAAAUCUUGACAUCCUUUGACAACUCUAGAGAUAGAGCCUUCCCCUUCGGGGGACAAAGUGACAGGUGGUGCAUGGUUGUCGUCAGCUCGUGUCGUGAGAUGUUGGGUUAAGUCCCGCAACGAGCGCAACCCUUAAGCUUAGUUGCCAUCAUUAAGUUGGGCACUCUAAGUUGACUGCCGGUGACAAACCGGAGGAAGGUGGGGAUGACGUCAAAUCAUCAUGCCCCUUAUGAUUUGGGCUACACACGUGCUACAAUGGACA